rnacentral:rRNA from 1 species
UACGUAGGGACCAAGCGUUGUUCGGAUUUACUGGGCGUAAAGGGCGCGUAGGCGGCGUGUUAAGUCACUUGUGAAAUCUCUGAGCUUAACUCAGAACGGUCAAGUGAUGCUGAUGUGCUAGAGUGCAGAAGGGGCAACCGGAAUUCUUGGUGUAGCGGUGAAAUGCGUAGAUAUCAAGAGGAACACCUGAGGUGAAGACGGGUUGCUGGGCUGACACUGACGCUGAGGCGCGAAAGCCAGGGGAGCAAACGGG